GACGAACGCUGGCGGCGUGCUUAACACAUGCAAGUCGAACGGAAAGGCCCUGCUUUUGUGGGGUGCUCGAGUGGCGAACGGGUGAGUAACACGUGAGUAACCUGCCCUUGACUUUGGGAUAACUUCAGGAAACUGGGGCUAAUACCGGAUAGGAGCUCCUGCUGCAUGGAGGGGGUUGGAAAGUUUCGGCGGUCGGGGCUGGAUUCGCGGCUGAUCGGCUUGUUGGUGGGGUAGUGGUAGACCAAGGCUUUGACGGGUAGCCGGCCUGGGAGGGUGACCGGCCACAUUGGGACUGCGGUACGGCCCAGUGUCCUACGGUGGGCAGCAGUGGGGAGUAUUGCACAAUGGGCGCAAGCCUGUUGCAGCAACGCCGCGUGCGGGAUGACGUCCUUCGGGUUGUAAACCGCUUUCGCCUGUGACGAAGCGUGAGUGACGGUAAUGGGUAAAGAAGCACCGGCUAACUACGUG
rnacentral:rRNA from 1 species